rnacentral:rRNA from 1 species
AGCGAACGCUGGCGGCGUGCCUAACACAUGCAAGUCGAACGAGAAAGGGAGCAAUCCCCUGUACAGUGGCUUACGGGUGAGUGACACGUAGGUAAUCUACCCCAGAAUCUGAAAUAACCGACCGAAAGGCUGGCCAAUACUGGAUAGCGCGACGGAUUCUGUACUUGGGUUUUUCGUGAAAGAGAGCCUGUAUGCAGGCCCUCGUUCUUGGAUGAGCCUGCGGCCCAUCAGCUAGUUGGGUAGGUAAAAGCUUACCAAGGCAAAGACGGGUAGCUGGACUGAGAGGACGAUCAGCCAAACUGGAACUGAAGCAAGGGCCAGGACCCUUAGGGGGGGAGCAGUGAGGAAUCUUGCGCAAAGGGCGAAAGUCUGACGGAGCAACGCCGGGGGGGGGAAUGAGGGCCUCGGGUUGUAAAGAUUUGUCGAGUGGGACGAAAAUGAUUGGAAUGCACAGCUGCAGGAACUGACGGUACCACUAAAGAAAGCACCGGCUAACUCCGUG